rnacentral:rRNA from 1 species
UACGGAGAGUGCAAGCGUUGUUCGGAAUUACUGGGCGUAAAGCGCGUGUAGGUGGCACAACAAGCCUGGCGUGAAAGCCUGGAGCUCAACUCCAGAAGUGCGUUGGGAACUGUCGUGCUUGAGUAUCGGAGAGGAAGGCGGAAUGCUCGGGUGUAGAGGUGAAAUUCGUAGAUAUCCGGCAGAACAUCAGUGGCGAAAGCGGCCUUCUGGACGAAUACUGACACUAAGACGCGAAAGCGUGGGGAGCAAACAGG